rnacentral:snoRNA from 1 species
CUGGAGACUACGACAAAAGAGUCCUUGAAGUCAAGCUGACUCUGCCUUCAGCCUCCUACAUGAAAAGGUAGAUAGAACAGGUCUUGUUGCAAAGUAAAUUCAAGACCUACUUAUCUACCAACAGCC